rnacentral:tRNA from 1 species
UAUCUUUAUAGUUUAAAUAAAAUAUAAUAUUGAAAAUAUUAAGAUAUAAUUUUUAAAGAUAUU